AUCAUUUGUCAGGCGUUCGAAACC
rnacentral:siRNA from 1 species